rnacentral:lncRNA from 10 species
GGUGGGCGGGCUCCGAGCCCAGCUCCACUGGCCCCGGCCGCGGGGCUCGCCCCUCCGUCCCCAAACGACCGUCUCCGCUGCCAUGAGAUGCCGACAGCCUGUGCGCUGGCCGCCACCCCCUGCUCCAUCAGGUGCUGGAAUCUGAGUAAAAGCCUGGGCGCGAGCUCCCAGCCCCGGGGCCUGCCACCGGCUCCACGAAGCGGGCAGCUCCAGCGGCCGCCGGGAGAAGGAAGGGCGACCGGGGGAGACGGGUCGCAGGGACAGCACGUGGCGGAAAGUUAGCCCCGGACUAGCACGCCCCACCCGGAGAAGCCGGCCUGGAAGGGGCUGCGGACCACCAGGCGGAGCGGUGGGCGACCGAAGUGCGGCUGGGCUGGCCUCCUCGUCUCCGCACUGGAAGAAUUGCCCUUCCGCAAGUCUUCCCUUCCCACAUGGGGGCCCUCCAGGCCGCACCUCGGUCGCCCACCGCUUCCCUUGAGAAGGGAGACUAAAGACAGGCAUCUGGAAGCUGUCACUGUGGCGCGCGGGCAGACAGGGGAUCCCAUUGGAGAGGAAGAGCCGUAGUAGUCGCUGCUGCCUUCGGCCGACCCAACGGCCGCCUGCUUGGGAGGAAGAAAAAGAACGCCCCCGCUGAAGAAUUAAGGCAGCCAUUGGUUGCUCUAGGGGGUUACAAGAUGGGCAGUACAAUAGAGGAUGGACUGGAGUUGGAAAAGACUAAAGCAGCAAGUUUGAUAAGGAGGCUACAGCAAUAGUCCAGGUGAAAGACGCAAGAGCCCAAAAUGCAGCAGUGGCCAAGGGAAUGGAUCUGAGAUAAAGUUCAGAAGAUAGAGUUGGCAGGGCAGGUGAGGAGAAGAGAAGAAGGCCACAUGAAGAUGGAGCAAGAGAUUGGAGUGAUGUGGCCACAAGCCAAGGAAGCUGAGGAAUGAAGACAGCUAUCAGAAGCUGGAAGAGGAAAAGAAUUCUCUCUUGGGGUCUGCAGAGGGAGAACAGCCCUGCCAACACUUCCAUUUCCAAUGUCUGGACUCUAGAACUGUGAGAAAAUAAAUUCCCAUUAUUUUAAGGAACA